rnacentral:snRNA from 1 species
AGAGGAUCACUUAAGCCCAGGAGGCAAAGUUUGCAGUGAGCCGAGAUUGUGUCACUGCACUCCAGCCUGGGUGACAGAG